UACGGAGGGGGCUAGCGUUGUUCGGAAUUACUGGGCGUAAAGCGCACGUAGGCGGACUGUUAAGUCGGGGGUGAAAUCCUGGGGCUCAACCUCAGAAUUGCCUCCGAUACUGGCAGUCUCGAGUGCGGGAGAGGCGAGUGGAAUUCCUGGUGUAGCGGUGAAAUGCGCAGAUAUCAGGAGGAACACCAAUUGCGAAGGCAGCUCGCUGGAACGUAACUGACGA
rnacentral:rRNA from 1 species